AUUGAACGCUGGCGGCAUGCUUUACACAUGCAAGUCGAACGGCAGCGCGGGGCAACCUGGCGGCGAGUGGCGCACGGGUGAGUCAUACAUCGGAACGUACCCAGAAGUGGGGGAUAACGUAGCGAAAGUUACGCCAAUACCGCAUACGUUCUACGGAAGAAAGUGGGGGACCUUCGGGCCUCAUGCCUUUGGAGCGGCCGAUGUCUGGUUAGCUAGUUGGUGAGGUAAAGGCUCACCAAGGCGACGAUCAGUAGCUGGUCUGAGAGGACCACACGCCACACUGGGACUGAGACACGGCCCAGACUCCUACGGGGGGCAGCAGUGGGGAAUUUUGGACAACGGGCGCAAGCCUGAUCCAGCAAUGCCGCGUGAGUGAAGAAGGCCUUCGGGUUGUAAAGCUCUUUUGUCAGGGAAGAAACGGCUGGGGUUAAUACCUUCGGCUAAUGACGGUACCUGAAGAAUAAGCACCGGCUAACUACGUGCCAGCCGCCGCCGUAACAC
rnacentral:rRNA from 1 species